rnacentral:snRNA from 1 species
AUACUUACCUGGCAGGGGAGACACCACGAUCAGGAAGGUGGUUUUCCCAGAGCGAGGCUCAUCUGUUGCCCUGCUGACCCCUGCGAUUUCCCUAAAUGCGGGAAACUACUGCAAAAGCUGUGGUAGUGGGGACUGUGUUCGCGCUCUCCCCUG